rnacentral:lncRNA from 1 species
GAAAUUGCUUUCCGAGUAGGCAUCCUUUGCACAAUUGAUCGGGGUGGCUAAUGGAUGGUAGUACUCGCACUAUGUUCUUUUUGGAUAGUAGCUCCAAGCCUCCAAAAUUCAAGUGCCCAAAUCGAAGAUGCCAAAGCCAAGAUACAUCUUUGUAGCAACCUUUAAGACACUUUGCAACAUCAUUUUGAAGGUUCAACAAGAACAUUCUAUUUUUGGACAUAGGCACCUUAGUGAUUAAAUUAUUUUUAUUAUCUCUUAUGGAAAGACUAUGAUCUUUCAUGUGAAUGUCAAAAAAAUUCAUUAAAUAAUAUAUAAAUAGUAUAUUUAGAACCCAAUAAGUAAAAGAGAUUAUAGUCC